rnacentral:rRNA from 1 species
GGUGAACGCUGGCGGCGUGCCUAACACAUGCAAGUCGAGCGGUGCAGUUUGAAGCUUCGGUGGAAAGCUGCAUAGCGGCGGACGGGUGAGGAAAACGUAGGAACGUGCCCCUUGGAGUUGGAUAGCCACGGGAAACUGUGGGUAAACCGACAUAGACUCGAGAGAGUAAAGGCCGAAAGGCGCCAAGGGAGCGGCCUGCGGCCCAUCAGGUAGUUGGUAGUGUAAAGGACUACCAAGCCGACGACGGGUAGCCGGUCUGAGAGGAUGGCCGGCCACAAGGGCACUGAGAGACGGGCCCUACUCCUACGGGAGGCAGCAGUAGGGAAUUUCCGCAAUGGGCGAAAGCCUGACGGAGCAACGCCGCGUGAAGGAAGAAGGUCUUCGGAUCGUAAACUUUUGUCUUCAGGGACGAUAAUGACGGUACCUGAGAAGGAAGCCACGGCUAACUACGUG